rnacentral:lncRNA from 1 species
UUCAUAAAUGUAGCAAAACCCUUUAAAUUUAAAAGGAAAAAGCUUUCAAAGUAUUGAUAUUUUUAAAAGCAUUGGCUCGAGUUUGGAAUCCGAUAUUCGGCUUGUCGAUGGUCCAAAGAUUCAUUCGACAAGAGCAUCGAUGCGUGCGUGAUUAAAGAAGAAAGAUUUCUACAUGUUAUUUUCGAAAGAGGGAGAGUAUGGGAGAGAAAGGUAGAGAGAGAGAAG